rnacentral:lncRNA from 1 species
CACCGGGACCCGCGAGCGGGAUCAGGGCUGGGGGAUUAGCAGAGCCGCUUGCGAGGCUGACCCUCUCCAGGAUGCCCCAUGUAAACCUGGAUCAUUCCUUCCUUCUGAGUACGGGGCAGGACUCUCUCUGGGAUGGAGGGGUCUUAGGACCUGCAAGCAAACAAGCACAGAGGCAGUAGUAGAAGCCAUGAGUCUGAUAAGUUUGCUGAAGGAGAGAGUGUGCUAUGAGGACGGAUCGUUGACAAGACCCUGGAGGACACAAGGACCUAAGAGCCCCUAAGAGGAGACAGAGAAGGUGCUGUCCCACAAAGUGCAAGAUGUCCCAGGAGAGAGGUGUCCAGGGGAUGACUGUGCGGGGGAAGCUCCGAAGUGGACAAGUCAACGAGCACCGGAAGGUGUCCCAGGGAUCUGGCAAUCAAGAGGCCAUCAGUGAGCCAGGCAGGACUCAGCCCACCUGCACUGAGGUGAAAUAAACAGCUUUAUUGCUCACACAAAGCCUGUUGGUGGACUCUCUUCACAUUGAUGCGCGUGACAUUUUGUGCUGUGACUUGGAUUGGGGGCCCUUCCUUGGGAGAUCAAUCCCCUGUCCUCCUGCUCUUUGCUCCAGGAGAAAGAUCCACCACGACCUUGGGUCUUCGGACCAACCAGCCCAAGGAACAUCUCACCAAUUUUAAAUCGGACAGGAAUGUCAGGCCUCUGAGCCCAAGCGAAGCCAUCA